CUCGCCAUAGCUCAAGUGGGAGAGCACUCCGGCCGGUGUCGGCACCGCGCCGGAGAGGACGCUCGGUUCGAUUCCGGCUGGCGAGUCCA
rnacentral:tRNA from 1 species